rnacentral:lncRNA from 1 species
ACCUAUAAGAUUUCAUGCACCAAUUUCCUUUCUUCCACAUUGGUCAAAUAUCUUACUUUAUUAUCCAUAUUCAUUCUUUAAUCUAUCUUCAUGCAUUCUUAAUCCAUUUCCAUUUCAUCCACCUUACUUAUAUCCAAUAGCCUUUCAUGCAUUCUCCUACAUUAUUUCUCAUUUGGUCUCCCAUUUAGCCAAUAACAUUACAUGCAUAUAUAUUUCCUUUCUUUUAGUCCAACAUUGCCCCCAAGUGUCCUCCAUGCAAAAAUUCUCUAUGCUUUCUUUAACUAGUAAAAUCACAUGCAUAUUUCACCUUGUGCAUUUAUCUCCUU